rnacentral:lncRNA from 1 species
UGAUGGUGGGUUCCGGUGUCGGCAACGACAAACCUGGUCGCGGCCUUUCCCUUCUUGCUUCUGCUUUUCUUUUUUUCACCAAGCUUGCCGAAGCCCUCUGUCCUAGUUUCCUUCCUCCUGCUCUGUUUCGUUCUCUCUUUUUUUUUUUAGACGAAACCCUCUUCAAUCCCUCCCCUUUUCUUAGUUUUGGCGAAGCUCUCUGUCUGUCGCCCAUUUCUUUUCUCUGUUUGUCCUUCUUUUCCCUAGCCGAGAGCUCUCUCUCUCG